rnacentral:ribozyme from 1 species
UUCGACAGUGGGAGCGGGUGCGGGUGCGUGUCUGAUUACGUCGACAACGAAAAAGAAAGGCAAAACACGUGGCGGCAAGCGGGAUAUCAAAAGCAG